AAUCAACGCUGGCGGCGCGCUUAACACAUGCAAGUCGCACGAGAAAGUGGAGCAAUCCAUGAGUACAGUGGCGUACGGGUGAGUAACACGUGGGUAAUCUACCUCUUAGUGGGGAAUAACUCUGGGAAACCGGAGCUAAUACCGCAUAAGCCUGGAAAGGGAAAGCAGCAAUGCGCUGAGAGAGGAGCCCGCGGCCGAUUAGCUAGUUGGUAGGGUAAAAGCCACCAAGGCAAUGAUCGGUAGCCGGCCUGAGAGGGCACACGGCCACACUGGCACUGAAACACGGGCCAGACUCCUACGGGAGGCAGCAGUGGGGAAUCUUGCACAAUGGGGGCAACCCUGAUGCAGCGACGCCGCGUGAGCGAUGAAGCCCUU
rnacentral:rRNA from 1 species